GGAGGGUGCAAGCGUUGUUCGGAAUUAUUGGGCGUAAAGAGCGUGUAGGCGGCCGGAUGUGUCAAAUGUGAAAGCCCUGAGCUCAACUCAGGAAGUGCAUUUGAAACUGUCCGGCUCGAGUAGGGGAGAGGGAAGUGGAAUUCCUGGUGUAGAGGUGAAAUUCGUAGAUAUCAGGAGGAACACCGGUGGCGAAGGCGACUUCCUGGCCCUAUACUGACGCUGAGACGCGAGAGCGUGGGUAGCAAACAGGAUUAGAUACCCUGGUAGUCCACGCCGUAAACGAUGUUCACUAGGUGUUGGGGGUAUUGACCCCCUCAGUGCCGGAGCUAACGCAUUAAGUGAACCGCCUGGGGAGUACGGCCGCAAGGCUA
rnacentral:rRNA from 1 species